GUGACAUGGAAAAGAAAGGAUAAACAUGUUGGGUGAAGUUUAGUAUUAAGCUUCUGUGUAAAGGUUAAACAUUUAAUUUCUGUCCAGUGAUAAUCUACCUUUGUUUUUAUCAUGGCUAUAACUCUGGAGGAAUGAAAGUUCAAACGAUUGAUCAUAAAUUGUAGUAAAGUCCAUUGCUAGCAAGGUUAGAGUUAAUAUAUUAUUGAUCAGUGUAAUGGUUAGUGGCAAAAUAAUUUUUUCCCAUCAACUCUCUUAUUGGGUAGUUGUUUUCUGGAGGCCAAAGACGUAACAGAGCUUUGUGCUGAAUUAGCUUAGAGAGUUACACACUGUGUACAUCUGUUAGAUUCAGCCCUGGGUACUGCCAGAGCCCUCCGGAACAUCUGUAAUGAUGCUAUUGUUCAGAAAUGUUUCAAAGCCAUUUUUCCUUCAACACUGAAACUAGUAAAUCUUCUGUUGAGAAUGGGGAAAGGUUUGCAAACACUGAGUCCAUGAGGGGGUGUCCCUGGAAAAGAAGUUGCUGGUAGUUAAGUUGCACCUGAGAAGAAAUCUGAAUAUGUGAUGAAAAGCAGCUUUGGAGAAUUAUUCCUGUGGUAUCAUCAUAAUAUCAAACCCCAGCGGUGAAGUAUUUGGAAGGAUUAAAGUCUUCUGAUAAGUAGAAUGACGCAAAGGAAACCUCAAUAAUUUCCACUUGGAAAGUCUUCUGCAGAAAGUAUAGAUGUGGGUACGGUUCAUUAACCCGCAUGAAGCACGCUGCAGCCAUCCACACUGGUCUUAAUGAAAGUAAAAAGAAAGCACCUGCUCUUCUCAACAAAUUGACACCUUGGAAUACAUUGCACAGCGUCACGUUCAAAAGAUCUGAUGCUUCAUUGGUCUCUGCAAAUGUGCUGACUCCAGUCCAGCCAGAACUGAAUAAUGUGGAAAUGUCCUCUUACCACUGCACUGGGGACACUGCAAGCCAUAAUUAGUUAACGAUCGUAAUGCUCCCAGUCUCUUUGGAUGAAUAAUUCCCUCACAGAAAACAGAAAAUUUGUGUUAACCAAAAUUAUUCUUAUUUGGCUGAUUGUUUUUGUAACAAACAAAAUUGUGUUAUCACGCACGGAAGGCAUCAGAUUUCCAGUUUUGGGGGAAUAACUUUGUCUGGGCUUAAC
ensembl:lncRNA